CCGCAAGUCCUUUACGUGAAGCUGCGAGAAAAUGCUUACCAAAUCUGACAAUCUGAUGAGCGACGUGAUUCUACGUAGUGACGCAAUGUAUACGACUUCGGUUUUACUUUAUCUAAUUUGGCAUUUGGACAAAGAAGAACGAAUUAAUUUGUCGGGAAACAUCAACUUGGAAUUUGCGUUAUUUAUGUAAUUUCGAUUUAUAUUUUAUAUCAAUAAGGAC